rnacentral:rRNA from 1 species
CCAAAGCUCCGAUUUUUGACGAGCGCAUCUAUUAGAUUAAAACCAAUCGGAUUUCGGUCCGUCAUUUGGUGACUCUGAAUAGCUAUGGCUGAUCGCAUGGUCUUGUACCGGCGACGUAUCUAUCAAGUGUCUGCCUUAUCAACUUUCGAUGGUAGUUUAUGUGCCUACCAUGGUUGUAACGGGUAACGGAGAAUAAGGGUUCGACUCCGGAGAGGGAGCCUGAGAAACGGCUACCACAUCCAAGGAAGGCAGCAGGCGCGCAAAUUACCCACUCUCGGCAUGAGGAGGUAGUGACGAAAAAUAACGAGACCGUUCUCUAUGAGGCCGGUUAUCGGAAUGGGUACAAUUUAAACCCGUUAACGAGGAUCUAUGAGAGGGCAAGUCUGGUGCCAGCAGCCGCGGUAAUUCCAGCUCUCAAAGUGUAUAUCGUCAUUGCUGCGGUUAAAAAGCUCGUAGUUGGAUCUGCGCCUCAGGACUCGGUCCGCCCACUGGGUGAGAACUGGGCUCCUAGGCUAAUACUGCUGGUUUUCCCUAUGUUGCCUUCACCGGUCGCGUAGGGUGGCUAGCGAGUUUACUUUGAAAAAAUUAGAGUGCUUCACGCGGGCUAUUGUCUGAAUACUCGUGCAUGGAAUAAUAGAAUAGGAUCUCGGUUCUAUUUUGUUGGUUUUCUGAUCUGAGAUAAUGGUUAAGAGGGACGGACGGGGGCAUUCGUAUCGCUGCGUGAGAGGUGAAAUUCUUGGACCGUAGCGAGACGUCCGACUGCGAAAGCAUUUGCCAAGAAUGUCUUCAUUAAUCAAGAACGAAAGUCAGAGGUUCGAAGG